rnacentral:rRNA from 2 species
CUGGCAGUCAGAGGCGAUGAAGGGCGUGCUAAUCUGCGAUAAGCGCCGGUAAGGUGAUAUGAACCGUUAUAACCGGCGAUACCCGAAUGGGGAAACCCAGUGUGACUCGUCACACUAUCAUUAACUGAAUCCAUAGGUUAAUGAGGCGAACCGGGGGAACUGAAACAUCUAAGUACCCCGAGGAAAAGAAAUCAACCGAGAUUCCCCCAGUAGCGGCGAGCGAACGGGGAGGAGCCCAGAGCCUGAAUCAGCAUGUGUGUUAGUGGAAGCGUCUGGAAAGGCGCGCGAUACAGGGUGACAGCCCCGUACACAAAAGCGCAUGUGCUGUGAGCUCGAUGAGUAGGGCGGGACACGUGGUAUCCUGUCUGAAUAUGGGGGGACCAUCCUCCAAGGCUAAAUACUCCUGACUGACCGAUAGUGAACCAGUACCGUGAGGGAAAGGCGAAAAGAACCCCGGCGAGGGGAGUGAAAAAGAACCUGAAACCGUGU